rnacentral:tRNA from 1 species
GAGAUAAUAGUAUAAGGAGUAUUUUUCUUUUUCGCAGAAAAGGUUAUUUAUCUUA